rnacentral:lncRNA from 1 species
GGCUCGCGGAGAAUAAAGGAGCGUGGGGUGGGCGCGGAAAGAAAUGGGAAGGGGCGCGGGGCGGAGAGCGAAGUGGAAAGGAGGUGCUCCGAAAGGAGACAUAUACUGCCUGGACUGCCUGGCUGAUGUGAGCUAGUUUGUCUGGUUGAGUUGGAUGUUUAAAUAGAAGGCAGAACAACAACAGAAGCUUUGAGGAAGAGCCAUAACUACCUGGAGCAGAAUGAUUAUUUGGAGCCACAGAAAAUCAUUUUAGGGAGCAGUGGGUCCAGGUUCAGUGUUGUGUGUUCAACUCGGAAAGAACACAGUUGGGUGGCUGACCGGGUUACUUCUCCCCUGUGGCUCUGCUUGCAUUGGUCAUUGAGGUCAGGCAGGGGUUUGGCCACAGUGUUAGCCAUUGGCCCUGCAUUGAUCCUCACAUAGUAACAUCUUGUUUGGUUAUUAAAGUGACUGAAUUGUUGG